UGCCUCCUGCGGUGUUCGAGGCAGGCCCGGUAGUCUUUCGACCCUAAAUUUUUCGCUUGGGGUCGUUGUCUGUCGGCAGUAUUGUGCAGAACCGCCUGGAGCGGAGAGCCUGCGCUGCCACGGCUGACCCCACCUACCGCUCUGGUUCGAGAGCGACGGCCGGUCACGGCACAGGCGGGAGGCAC
rnacentral:other from 1 species